UUAAGCAUCUAUCUACCCAGAGAAAAGUAGCAAGCAUGAACAGGAGUGACAUUUUUUAAGUGGCAGGAAGAGAGAGAAAACAAAAAAUGUUAAUGUGCCACACUGAUAGAUGAAGAAAGAUUUAAGCAAGAGUGGGCAGGAGAGGAAGUGUCUAGGGGUUGGAAAUCAGCCAUGCAGCUUGUGUCACAUCUGCUUAUAUCUUGGUGAAUUCAGCUGGCUAAAUCCACAAAGUAACAGCGCAGGUCAGCUGAUCACAGCUUGUACACAAAGAAGAAUCUACUGGA